AGAAGGAGAGUAGCUGUAAUAUCCUUUCUGUAUCCAGCUCUUUUGAAAGAGAGGUUGUCCCAGGAAGACCAGUCCAGUGUGUGGACAGAAGGCCUCACUAUCAAGCAAGGCCACACGGUUGCUGAGAAGUUAGUGGCCAUCUCUGGUAGGCUGCAUCCUCGGGCCCAGAACGGACACAGCGUAUUCUUCAAAAGG